UACGGAGGGUGCAAGCGUUGUCCGGAUUUAUUGGGUUUAAAGGGUGCGUAGGCGGCUUUUUAAGUCAGUGGUGAAAUCCAGCAGCUUAACUGUUGAAUUGCCAUUGAUACUGGAGAGCUUGAGUACAGACGAGGUAGGCGGAAUUUAUGGUGUAGCGGUGAAAUGCAUAGAUACCAUAAAGAACACCGAUUGCGAAGGCAGCUUACUAGGCUGUAACUGACGCUGAGGCACGAAAGCGUGGGGAGCAAACAGG
rnacentral:rRNA from 1 species